rnacentral:rRNA from 1 species
CUCCAGUCAUAUGCUCGUCUCAAAGAUUAAGCCAUGCAAGUAUAAGUACAGGCCGAUCAAAGGCGAAACCGCAAAUGGCUCAUUAAAUCAGUCAUAAUUCAUUGGAUGUCGAAUCCGAGAAACUUACUUGGAUAACUGUGGCAAUUCUAGAGCUAAUACAUGCAACUCAGACCUCCGCUCUCCCCUCUCGCUAUUAGGACGCGCGUCAUCGUACGCCGUUAUUACUACGACGCGAGACGGGGAGGGAGAGGCGCUUUUAUUAGAUCACAAACCGAAUGGAGAAAUCGCCCUAGUAGUGUCAGUCAGUGGUCGUCGUCGGCCUUCGAUGAUUAUUCCAUCGAACCGAUUUAUCGUCACCACCUUCUUCUUCUUCUUCUCUCCUUUGUCGCUGAAAAAAAGUAAUAACUGUAACGAGAACCCCUUCGGGAAAGUAUCGUCGCCGCUAUUAUAACGACAAAGAGGGAGGAGGCGGCCGGUGGUGGUGGUGCUGCUGCUGAAGCUGAUCCGGCUCUCUCCUCAUUAUCCCUAAUCAUAUUCUUGAGACGGGAUGCUGUGAUGACUCCGGAUAAUGCCGCCGAGCGCUCAGGUCUCAGUACCGGCGCCGAAUCUUACGAGUGUCUGCCUUAUCAGCUGUCGACUGUAGGAUAGUUGCCUACGGUGGCUGUCACGGGUAACGGGGAAUCAGGGUUCGAUUCCGGAGAGGGAGCCUGAGAAACGGCUACCACAUCUAAGGAAGGCAGCAGGCCCGCAAAUUACCCACUCUCGGCACGAGGAGGUAGUGACGAAAAAUACCGGUGCGUGUCUCAAUACGAGGCCUCGCAAUCGGAAUGAGUC